rnacentral:rRNA from 1 species
UGAGGAAUUUUGCGCAAUGGGGGAAACCCUGACGCAGCAACGCCGCGUGAGUGAUGAAGGCUUUCGGGUCGUAAAGCUCUGUCAAGUGGGAAGAAACCACGAAAGGCCAAUACCCUUUUGUGCUGACGGUACCACUGAAGGAAGCACCGGCUAACUCCGUG